rnacentral:lncRNA from 13 species
GAGAUGAUGAUUAAAAUUAGUUCAGUGCUGAUGUGAAAUCAGACCCUUUGGAAUCAGGGUGUCUAUGUACAAUGUACUGCGUAUGCCCUGCCAAGGAGGACUGAGAGAGAACUAGAUACUCUCUCCUGGGUUGAUGCCUGAGGAAUUAUUCUGCUCUUUUUCAGGAAAUACAGAAGAUAUUUCACAGCGUGCCUUCUCCUGCUGUAUGCCCUCCAUUGCAGAGAAAUGAAUGCACCAGAAGUCUUGAUGCUGAAGGGACCUGUAGCUGCCACCUCCAACCCCCUUACACUAUGCCAUUUGGAGUGGAGCUGCAGGGGUGCAUUACAGAGUUUCCUGCCAUUUGAGUCGAUGGUUUACGAGCUGCACAUGUUGUCUGAUAUUUUCACCACAGGUAAUCUUUAAAGCAAUAGAAUGUGAUAAGUUCCAGAUAUCUUUCAUAGGAACACCUAACAUGACAAAAGCUCGACUGGUUUUCCCUCUGUCGAUACAGAGUAUUUGCGGCCAAGGUAUUCCAGUUUCGCUGGUCAGAAUCAGUGAUGAAGACUAAAGGGAGCAACGAUUUGUUGACUGGGAAGAGAAGGUAACACAACUAUACUUACUGAUCUCUUCAUAAGACAGUUUAAUCUUGCUUUACUUUCUGCAAAGUCCUCUAAGCUGUGUCAUCAAUGUUCUCUGUGGCAAAGAAUUUAAACUCUUUAUUCCUUUGGAUGGCGAAAGCAGGACUGUACCGGUUUUGAUCUUAGAUUAUCAACUUCUUAAGGGCAUGGACUUUGUCGGCUAAUUUGCUUGAAAUCAAGCAUUGCUCCAUUGCAGAGAGAACCUGGCAUUCCAUUCUUCUCUAUGGGUGACGUUUUCCUACCUUUAUUCAUCAUAUAUACAUGCCUUUUUAUGUCCAAGCUUCAGAAGAGGGCAGUACCUUCCACACUCUUGGUAACAGCACCAAAAGACGAUUGUUUCUCAUACUAUGAUACAGUAUGAUGCAGAAGAAUGCUUCUUCCGAAGCCUUCAUGUGACUACCAGUGACAAAAGAUGACUACCAGUGUCUCCAAAAAAGAUGUUGUUUCUCCAAAUGAAAUGGCUGCAUCCACAACUGAUUUAUCCACAUAAGAUAUACUUGCAUUUCUGCAGGAUUAUCUCAGAAUUCUCUGCUGAAUGCAUGGCGGUCUCAUCACCUGACGCUCAUUCCCUUAAAGUUGAAAUAAAUUGGAUUUUAUAAUCUGGACUCA